ACACACACACACAGCGCGCAGUUUCCACUUGGGAAGGAGGCUAGUGGGAGAAGGAGCCUGGAGCCAAGACCUGCCCAGGCCAAGUGACAGCUGAGCCAGGCUUGGGGACCACAGAACAGCUGGGGACGGAGGAGAGGAGUUGAAGAAACCCUGUGAGCAGCCGCAACAUAGCCGAGACAGACUCAGUUCGACCCUUGGGGCUCCGGUCCGCCUCUCUUGGAUCCCUGGGGAACAGAGCUGCUCACUCCCUGAGAAGGGGGGCGCCCCCACCAGUUGAACAGGAGCUGCUCAAACCAGCAGGAUCCAGCGACCAGGCCAGCUGUGUAAGGAGGGACCUGACACAUUCAAGAAGGAGGAUCAUGAAGUAAGGGGGCUCCAUCUUCCCGGCCUGUUUGUCAAAUCCUCCAGUGCAUCACAAAGCUAACCUUGACCAUAGGGGACUUACCAGGUAAGAAGUCUCCUUCCCAUAGGAAACUUUGCUAUUGUCAAUGGAAGCGGGAAAUGGACCAGGGGAACGGUGUGUACCUGUGGAAUGAAGCUU